ACAUUUUCCAGCACUAAUGCUGACAUAUUACAGCCCUUGCAUUCCAGAAAAUUAUUUAUUUGUCAAGGAAACUUGGAUAUCUGAACGACAACAUGAAUGUCUCAACCAUCUUAUUAAUUUGCCUUGCCGUACAUCUUCAGCCAAGAAGCUUUUAUCCAUUAUCCAGGAUGUUUAAAAAUAAUAUACUGAAUUGAAUAUGCCUAGUGUUUUGUAUUUGUAAAAUGGGAUGCUGGAGUCAAAUAAAAGUCAAGCUGAAGACAUCAAA